rnacentral:rRNA from 1 species
UGGGGAAUUUUCCGCAAUGGGCGAAAGCCUGACGGAGCAAUACCGCGUGAGGGAGGACGGCUUUUGGGUUGUAAACCUCUUUUAUCAGGGAAGAAACAAAUGACGGUACCUGAUGAAUCAGCAUCGGCUAACUCCGUGCCAGCAGCCGCGGUAAUACGGAGGAUGCAAGCGUUAUCCGGAAUUAUUGGGCGUAAAGCGUCCGUAGGUGGUUUUUCAAGUCUGCUGUCAAAGCGUGGAGCUCAACUCCAUAACGGCAGUGGAAACUGGGAGACUAGAGUGCGAUAGGGGUAACGGGAAUUCCCAGUGUAGCGGUGAAAUGCGUAGAGAUUGGGAAGAACACCAGCGGCGAAAGCGCGUUACUGGGUCUGCACUGACACUGAGGGACGAAAGCUAGGGGAGCGAAAGGG